GGAAUAUUGGACAAUGGGCGCAAGCCUGAUCCAGCCAUGCCGCGUGCAGGAUGACGGUCCUAUGGAUUGUAAAAUGCUUUUAUACGAGAAGAAACACUACUUAGUGAAGGAGCUUGACGGUAUCGUAAUAAUAUGGAGCGGCUAACUCCGUGCCAGCAGCCGCGGUAAUACGGAGGAUCCAAGCGUUAUCCGGAAUCAUUGGGUUUAACGGGUCCGUAGGCGGUUUGGUAAGUCAGUGGUGAAAGCCCAUCGCUCAACGGUGGAACGGCCAUUGAUACUGCCAGACUUGAAUUAUUAGGAAGUAACUAGAAUAUGUAGUGUAGCGGUGAAAUGCUUAGAGAUUACAUGGAAUACCAAUUGCGAAGGCAGGUUACUACUAAUUGAUUGACGCUGAUGGACGAAAGCGUGGGUAGCGAAC
rnacentral:rRNA from 1 species